AAACAGAUGCUAAUACCGGAUAACAACANAUGAUGCCUAUCAACUGUUUAAAAGAUGGUUCUGCUAUCACUCUUGGAUGGACCUGCGGUGCAUUAGCUAGUUGGUAGGGUAACGGCCUACCAAGGCGAUGAUGCAUAGCCGAGUUGAGAGACUGAUCGGCCACAUUGGGACUGAGACACAGCCCAAACUCCUACGGGAGGCAGCAGAAA
rnacentral:rRNA from 1 species